ensembl:snRNA U6 U6 spliceosomal RNA
UUGCUUCAGUAGCACAUAUACUAAAAUUGGAACAAUACAGCGAAGAUUAGCAUGGCCCCUGUGCAAGGAUGACAUGCAAUUUCAUGAAGCGUUCCAUAUUUUU